rnacentral:tRNA from 1 species
GGCCCAAUGGUGGAAUAGGUAGACACGCAGGACUUAAAAUCCUGUGCUCCGAAAGGGGCGUACGGGUUCGACUCCCGUUUGGGCCA